rnacentral:lncRNA from 1 species
UGUGUGGCUAUUGGGACAAAUUGCAUAUCUGGAGAGGAGCAUCCUAACGACAGGCGCGGAAUCUAGGUACCAAGGAUAACAACCGUGUGAGAUAGGAAUUAUCCAGGACAACUGUUUGUGUGGGAAAUGGAGUCCCAUAGACGUUGGAGAUCCACAAACCACUUCCGCCAUCAACCACUAGAAACCCUUAUUGGACUCCCUAGGCCAUCAAGGUCUUGUAAUCCCAACAUUUUUAUUUUCUUGGAUAUUUGUAUCAAGGA